rnacentral:rRNA from 1 species
AUUGAACGCUGGCGGCAUGCCUAACACAUGCAAGUCGAACGGCAGCACAGCAGUAGCAAUACUGUGGGUGGCGAGUGGCGGACGGGUGAGGAAUACGUCGGAAUCUGCCCAGUCGUGGGGGAUAACUAGCCGAAAGGUUAGCUAAUACCGCAUACGACCGAGAGGUGAAAGCGGGGGGACCGCAAGGCCUCGCGCGAUUGGAUGAGCCGACGUCGGAUUAGCUAGUUGGCGGGGUAAAGGCCACCAAGGCGACGAUCCGUAGCUGGUCUGAGAGGAUGAUCAGCCACACUGGAACUGAGACACGGUCCAGACUCCUACGGGAGGCAGCAGUGGGGAAUAUUGGGACAAUGGGCGCAAGCCUGAUCCAGCAAUGCCGCGUGUGUGAAGAAGGCCUCGGUUGUAAGCACUUUAUCAGGACGAAAGACGUUGGAUUAAUAACUCUGACGUAGCUGACGGUACCU